rnacentral:rRNA from 1 species
GAUGAACGCUGGCGGCGUGCUUAACACAUGCAAGUCGAACGGAAAGGCCCAAGCUUGCUUGGGUACUCGAGUGGCGAACGGGUGAGUAACACGUGGGUGAUCUGCCCUGCACUUCGGGAUAAGCCUGGGAAACUGGGUCUAAUACCGGAUAGGACGAUGGUUUGGAUGCCAUUGUGGAAAGUUUUUUCGGUGUGGGAUGAGCUCGCGGCCUAUCAGCUUGUUGGUGGGGUAAUGGCCUACCAAGGCGUCGACGGGUAGCCGGCCUGAGAGGGUGUACGGCCACAUUGGGACUGAGAUACGGCCCAGACUCCUACGGGAGGCAGCAGUGGGGAAUAUUGCACAAUGGGCGCAGGCCUGAUGCAGCGACGCCGCGUGGGGGAUGACGGCCUUCGGGUUGUAAACUCCUUUCGCUAGGGACGAAGCGUUUUUGUGAUGGUACCUGGAGAAGAAGCACCGGCUAACUACGUG